UACGGAGGGAGCUAGCGUUGUUCGGAAUUACUGGGCGUAAAGCGCGCGUAGGCGGCUUUGUAAGUUAGAGGUGAAAGCCCGGAGCUCAACUUCGGAAUUGCCUUUAAGACUGCAUCGCUUGAAUCAUGGAGAGGUCAGUGGAAUUCCGAGUGUAGAGGUGAAAUUCGUAGAUAUUCGGAAGAACACCAGUGGCGAAGGCGACUGACUGGACAUGUAUUGACGCUGAGGUGCGAAAGCGUGGGGAGCAAACAGG
rnacentral:rRNA from 1 species